UCAGUGUUCCAUAAUAACACAACUCUGCAUCAUAAGUUUAAUGCAUUGCUUAUGACAUCAGCAUGCUGGAAUGUGAUGCUAUUGAUCAUGAAAAAUUCUGUAGUGUUUGGCACUUCACUUCAUAUCUGGAAUUUAUAUAGAGCAGAAUUGUGUUAGUUCAAGUCAUUUAUUAAUAGUUUAUGACCGCUAUAGUUAUAAUAAGUAUAGUUAUACUUAGUGUAUUGAUUUAUAUUUAAAGUAUAUUGAGGGUUUUUUUUGUUGCUGAAAAGAUCACCAGUUAACAUGGAAGCCUUGAUAAUGGCAUUGGCAGGUUUUCAUAUCACCAUGCCAGCUCAUGUCUGGAAUUUUGAAGCGCCGGUGGUGGCCAUGGAGGUGGAUGUCCCCGUCCCCUCCAGGAAGAGAAGGAGGGAGGAGGGGACGGGGGGCAUCAGAAAGGAUGCCACCAACAGGACUUUCAUCCUCCCUGCGAAAAGGGCAAGGAGGAGGGCCGCAUAGACCCUCCCAGUAGGUCAGAGCCUUAGUAAUCUAACACUAAUCUGCUCUAAUACAAUCACAAAGGCCAUAUUCAACAUUUUUAAUGGGUGGUAAUGGUUUACCAAGCAUUCUAGAAUUUUUAUUCAACAUUCUACAGCUCCUAUACAUCUAUAUGUUAAAAGUCCCUUAGCGCAUUUGUGACAUCAUAGUGAGAGAACACUAACAGAGAGAAUAGAGUGUCUCUGACACUACAUUUAGCCCCAGCACUGUUCUUCUAAUAACAUGUUAUGAGUACUCUUACUCCAACUUAUCACGUUUAAUUCAAUAUGUAGGCAGAGGAGACUGCAGGGCCUGGACAACACAACUACCUCACAUUACGGGACAAGGCCACCAGAAGAGCCCCACUUCCACCUGUCCCACUAACAAAUAGGGUCCAGAACAUCGGGCCAGGACAUUAACCCCAACCCACCCGCCCCAACCCACUCGCACACACACAUGCACA